GCGAGAGUGGCGAAAUUGGUAGACGCGCCGGAUUUAGGUUCCGGUGGGGUAAUACCCGUGAGAGUUCAAGUCUCUCCUUUCGUACCA
rnacentral:tRNA from 1 species